ensembl:lncRNA
UUAUUGGUGUUCUGGUGAGAUUCAGACAUAAGCCGAUUGCCCUUGCAGCAGACGUAGAAGGGAUGUUUCAUCAGGUCAGAGUUCCUGCUAAAGAUAAAGAUCUGUUAAGAUUCCUUUGGUGGCCUAAAGGGGACACUGCACAGGAAGUGGAGGAAUACAGAAUGAGUGUCCACUUAUUUGGUGCUACAUCCUCCCCAAGUUGUGCAAUCUACGCUUUGCAAAGGUGUGCAAAGGACAACAGUGCACAGCAUAGAUCAGAGGUAAUUCAGACAGUCCUUAGGAAUUUCUAUGUGGAUGAUUGUUUGUCGUCUGUGGCUACUGAACAGCAGGGUAUUGCUCUAAUGCAUGACUUAAGGGAGAUGUGUGCAUCAGGAGGAUUUAAUUUGACCAAGUGGAUGUCCAACAGUCGCACUGUACUUGCAUCCAUAAGUGAGGAGAGCAAAGCUAAGACAGUUAAGGAUUUGGACCUGGAGAAAGACAAGUUACCAUUGGAAAGAGCUCUAGGGGUUCAGUGGUGUGUUGAGACAGACACUUUGCAGUUCAAAGUAACCCUACAGGAAAAGCCUCUUACAAGGAGAGGUAUAUUGUCCAUGGUCAGCUCCAUUUAUGAUCCCCUUGGAAUACUUUCUCCAGUUAUUCUUCCUGCAAAGCAAAUACUGCAGGAGCUUUGUAGAACAAAACAUGACUGGGAUGACAAGAUUCCAGAAACUCUCAGACAUCAGUGGAAUCUGUGGCUGGCUAGUCUUCAGAACUUGAAUGACUUUCAGGUUGAAAGAUGCAUGAAGCCACUUAACUUUGGUGAAAUCACCUCAGCGCAGCUGCAUCAUUUUGCAGAUGCCAGUGAGCUGGGUUUUGGCACAGUGUCAUACUUGCUCAUGGAGAAUCACAGAGGUAACCAACAUUGUGCAUUUGUUAUGGGUAAAGCAAGGGUUGCUCCAGUAAAAACAGUUACCGUGCCACGUCUUGAGCUUACUGCAGCUACAAUGGCUGCUAGAAUGGACAAUAUGCUGAAAUCUGAAUUGNACUUGAUUCUUCAGGAGUCUGUAUUUUGGACAGACAGUACUUCAGUCCUGAAAUAUCUCAACAACGAAAGCACGCGGUUCCGUACAUUUGUGACCAACAGGGUAACUGCAAUCAGAGAGCUCUCAAAGGCGUCGCAAUGGAGGUAUGUGAAUUCUUCUUCCAACCCGGCCGACAUUGCCUCAAGAGGACUUACUGUAGAUGCUUUCCUUAAAGCAAAUUCAUGGCUCACAGGUCCAUCCUUUCUGACAAAGCCAGAAUCAGAGUGGCCAAAAAUGCCUAGUUACACCCUUAAGUUAUCUGUUAAUGAUUUGGAAGUUAAGGAAGUCUGCGUAAAUGCAGUGAGUGCAGACAAUUCUGACUAUACUUCUCAGUUCUUUUCACACUACUCCGAUUGGUACCGUUUGAAAAGAGCCAUUGCAUGGUUCCUCAAGUUUAAAAGCACUCUGAAGACACUAAUGGAAAAAAGAAAUGAGCUGUGCCACAGUCUAAGAGACAAUCUAGCAGUGAAUUCUGAACUUCAAAACUUCAAAUCUUCGCUGUCAGGGGUUACAUUGACUGUAAGUGACCUUGAAAAAGCUGAGGAAGAGAUCAUUCGCUACAGCCAAACAAUCAUGUUUCCAGAGGAAAUCAAAGCCCUCCAGCAAGGUAAAACUGUAAAACACAGCAGCGCUCUCUACAAGUUGUCACCAGUUUUGCAAGACAAAAUUCUAAGAGUAGGUGGCAGACUAAGCAGGUCAUCUAUGCCUGAGGAGGCCAAGCAUCCUGCUAUUUUAGCAAAGGACCAUCCUGUUUCACAUCUGAUCUUAAGAUCAAUUCAUGCAGAUGUGGGUCACAGCGGCCGUAAUCACAUGUUGUCAAAGUUACGGGAAAAAUACUGGAUUCCAAAAGCACAAACGGCCAUCAGAAAAAUCCUAUCUCAAUGCACAAUUUGUAAACGCCAGCGCGGCACUACAGGCAAACAAUUCAUGGCUGACCUUCCCCGUGACAGGCUUUUGCCAGAUGAACCCCCAUUCACAAAUGUAGGCAUUGAUUAUNNNNNNNNNNNNNNNNNN